rnacentral:rRNA from 1 species
AGAGUUUGAUCAUGGCUCAGAACGAACGCUGGCGGCGUGCUUAACACAUGCAAGUCGAACGCGAAAGUUUUCUUCGGAAAGCGAGUAGAGUGGCGCACGGGUGAGUAACGCGUAAGUAAUCUGCCCUGGUAUCUGGGAUAACCCACCGAAAGGUGUGCUAAUACCGGAUACGCUGGUAACAGGAAAGGUGGCCUCUUCAUGAAAGCUACUGUACCAGGAGGAGCUUGCGUACCAUUAGCUAGUUGGUAGGGUAAUGGCCUACCAAGGCGACGAUGGUUAGCGGGUCUGAGAGGAUGAUCCGCCACACUGGAACUGAAACACGGACCAGACUCCUACGGGAGGCAGCAGUGAGGAAUAUUGCGCAAUGGGGGAAACCCUGACGCAGCGACGCCGCGUGGAUGAUGAAGGCCUUCGGGUCGUAAAAUCCUGUCAGAUGGAAAGAAGUGUAUCCUGCCUAAUACGUGGGAUAUUUGACGGUACCAUCAAAGGAAGCACCGGCUAACUCCGUGCCAGCAGCCGCGGUAAUACGGAGGGUGCGAGCGUUGUUCGGAAUUACUGGGCGUAAAGGGCGCGUAGGCGGCUGUUUAAGUCAGAUGUGAAAGUCCACGGCUCAACCGUGGAAGUGCAUUUGAAACUGGAUGGCUUGAGUACUGGAGGGGGUGGUGGAAUUCCCGGUGUAGAGGUGAAAUUCGUAGAUAUCGGGAGGAAUACCGGUGGCGAAGGCGACCACCUGGCCAGAUACUGACGCUGAGGUGCGAAAGCGUGGGGAGCAAACAGGAUUAGAUACCCUAGUAGUCC